UCUAGCUGGCAGCCCACUGAAGCGAAGCAGGGAUGUGCCUGGUCAGUACCUGGAUGGGAGACCGCAUGGGAAAACUAGGUUGCUGCCGGAA
rnacentral:rRNA from 1 species